UACGUAGGGUGCGAGCGUUGUCCGGAAUUAUUGGGCGUAAAGAGCUUGUAGGCGGUCUGUCGCGUCUGCUGUGAAAAUCCGGGGCUCAACCCCGGACUUGCAGUGGGUACGGGCAGACUAGAGUGUGGUAGGGGGAGACUGGAAUUCCUGGUGUAGCGGUGAAAUGCGCAGAUAUCAGGAGGAACACCGGUGGCGAAGGCGGGUCUCUGGGCCGAUACUGACGCUGAGGAGCGAAAGCGUGGGGGAGCGAACAGG
rnacentral:rRNA from 1 species